GCUCAAAGGAACCCGGCAAAAGGGUCGUUAACCUUUUGGCGUCGCUCCGGCCUGGUCAGACAUCCAGGGUCGCCUUUCUUUGUCCUUGUCCCUGGGAAGGACAAUACUGAACCAACCUUAGCCUCUCGUGGCCGCCUAAGCAGCACUGUCUACGGGGACCGCGGGACAGCGUUUUCAAGUAGUGUGGGAGGCAGUGGUACAGCUCGGAAGCUGGAAUGGUAGGAAGAGUAAUGGCCUGAGAAGACCUGUGCCCUGCCCGGCCCCAGGCAUGACUUCGGGCCUUCUGGAAGUGGGCUCAGGAGAAAUGUACCCUGGGAACAACAGCUGGGAAGAAACAAAUUCCUGGAAGAUUCUCCAGAGACCUCUCCUUAGAAAUCAUCAGCCAGAGUG